AUGAACGCUAGCUACAGGCUUAACACAUGCAAGUCGAGGGGCAGCAUUUCAGUUUGCUUGCAAACUGGAGAUGGCGACCGGCGCACGGGUGAGUAACACGUAUCCAACCUGCCGAUAACUCGGGGAUAGCCUUUCGAAAGAAAGAUUAAUACCCGAUGGUAUAAUCAGACCGCAUGGUCUUGUUAUUAAAGAAUUUCGGUUAUCGAUGGGGAUGCGUUCCAUUAGGCAGUUGGUGAGGUAACGGCUCACCAAACCUUCGAUGGAUAGGGGUUCUGAGAGGAAGGUCCCCCACAUUGGAACUGAGACACGGUCCAAACUCCUACGGGAGGCAGCAGUGAGGAAUAUUGGUCAAUGGGCGCAGGCCUGAACCAGCCAAGUAGCGUGAAGGAUGACUGCCCUAUGGGUUGUAAACUUCUUUUAUAUGGGAAUAAAGUUUUCCACGUGUGGAAUUUUGUAUGUACUAUAUGAAUAAGGAUCGGCUAACUCCGUGCCAGCAGCCGCGGUAAUACGGAGGAUCCGAGCGUUAUCCGGAUUUAUUGGGUUUAAAGGGAGCGUAGGUGGACAGUUAAGUCAGUUGUGAAAGUUUGCGGCUCAACCGUAAAAUUGCAGUUGAUACUGGCUGUCUUGAGUACAGUAGAGGUGGGCGGAAUUCGUGGUGUAGCGGUGAAAUGCUUAGAUAUCACGAAGAACUCCGAUUGCGAAGGCAGCUCACUGGACUGCAACUGACACUGAUGCUCGAAAGUGUGGGUAUCAAACAGGAUUAGAUACCCUGGUAGUCCACACAGUAAACGAUGAAUACUCGCUGUUUGCGAUAUACAGUAAGCGGCCAAGCGAAAGCAUUAAGUAUUCCACCUGGGGAGUACGCCGGCAACGGUGAAACUCAAAGGAAUUGACGGGGGCCCGCACAAGCGGAGGAACAUGUGGUUUAAUUCGAUGAUACGCGAGGAACCUUACCCGGGCUUAAAUUGCAUUUGAAUAUAUUGGAAACAGUAUAGUCGUAAGACAAAUGUGAAGGUGCUGCAUGGUUGUCGUCAGCUCGUGCCGUGAGGUGUCGGCUUAAGUGCCAUAACGAGCGCAACCCUUAUCUUUAGUUACUAACAGGUCAUGCUGAGGACUCUAGAGAGACUGCCGUCGUAAGAUGUGAGGAAGGUGGGGAUGACGUCAAAUCAGCACGGCCCUUACGUCCGGGGCUACACACGUGUUACAAUGGGGGGUACAGAAGGCAGCUACCUGGUGACAGGAUGCUAAUCCCAAAAGCCUCUCUCAGUUCGGAUCGAAGUCUGCAACCCGACUUCGUGAAGCUGGAUUCGCUAGUAAUCGCGCAUCAGCCAUGGCGCGGUGAAUACGUUCCCGGGCCUUGUACACACCGCCCGUCAAGCCAUGAAAGCCGGGGGUACCUGAAGUACGUAACCGCAAGGAGCGUCCUAGGGUAAAACUGGUAAUUGGGGCU
rnacentral:rRNA from 1 species